AAAGGAACGCUAAUACCGCAUACGUCCUACGGGAGAAAGCAGGGGACCUUCGGGCCUUGCGCUAUCAGAUGAGCCUAGGUCGGAUUAGCUAGUUGGUGAGGUAAUGGCUCACCAAGGCGACGAUCCGUAACUGGUCUGAGAGGAUGAUCAGUCACACUGGAACUGAGACACGGUCCAGACUCCUACGGGAGGCAGCAGUGGGGAAUAUUGGACAAUGGGCGAAAGCCUGAUCCAGCCAUGCCGCGUGUGUGAAGAAGGUCUUCGGAUUGUAAAGCACUUUAAGUUGGGAGGAAGGGUUGUAGAUUAAUACUCUGCAAUUUUGACGUUACCGACAGAAUAAGCACCGGCUAACUCUGUGCCAGCAGCCGCGGUAAUACAGAGGGUGCAAGCGUUAAUCGGAAUUACUGGGCGUAAAGCGCGCGUAGGUGGUUUGUUAAGUUGGAUGUGAAAUCCCCGGGCUCAACCUGGGAACUGCAUCCAAAACUGGCAAGCUAGAGUAUGGUAGAGGGUGGUGGAAUUUCCUGUGUAGCGGUGAAAUGCGUAGAUAUAGGAAGGAACACCAGUGGCGAAGGCGACCACCUGGACUGAUACUGACACUGAGGUGCGAAAGCGU
rnacentral:rRNA from 1 species